UAACGGUCUUGUAAUUGGAAUGAGUGAAGUAUAAACCCCUUUACGAGUAUCAAUUGGAGGGCAAGUCUGGUGCCAGCAGCCGCGGUAAUUCCAGCUCCAAUAGCGUAUAUUAAAGUUGUUGCAGUUAAAAAGCUCGUAGUUGGAUUUCUGUUGUAUAAUCUAUAAUAUUACUAAGGUAUAUAUUAUAUUAUCAACAUCCUUCCUAUUAUAUUUCUAAAUAUAUAGGAAACUUUACUU
rnacentral:rRNA from 1 species